rnacentral:rRNA from 1 species
CUGAUGUUAGCGGCGGACGGGUGAGUAACACGUGGAUAACCUACCUAUAAGACUGGGAUAACUUCGGGAAACCGGAGCUAAUACCGGAUAACAUUUGGAACCGCAUGGUUCUAAAGUGAAAGAUGGUUUUGCUAUCACUUAUAGAUGGACCCGCGCCGUAUUAGCUAGUUGGUAAGGUAACGGCCUACCAAGGCGGCGACGGGUAGCCGGACUGAGAGGUUGGUCGGCCACAUUGGGACUGAGAUACGGCCCAG